GCUGUGGAAAAGUUUCUGAGAAGGGAGAGAAAUGGAGGGAAGUGAGACAUGACUAAGAUGUAGGUAAAAAGGAAUAAAGGUUUUCCCUGCUCAAAACUCUCAUGAAGAAAUUAAUGGAGAAGGAAAGCACAAAGCAUGCUUGAAAGAAAGCAAGAGUCUUCUUAUAAGUAUCACCUCCCAUGGAGUGAUAAGAAGUCAAACUCAUCCAUCAUGUCAGUGGGAAGAGAAGGUAUAAAUGAUAGAAGAGAUCCAAGUUUAUCAGGAAAGGAUAAAGGGCAGCUUACAAUUUGGAUCAAAACGGCAAAUUUUGAUACAUCUGCCUACGCUGUCCCUCACAGCAAGCCUGGAGACAUUAGAAAAUAAAAAUAUAAGGUGUCAGAAUGGAUGUAAACUAGAAGAAAACAGAAAUACUUGGAAAACUGAAGAUACGUGGGUCUCACUAUACAGAAAAAUGGUGGCUGGGAGAAGAACAGAGCUAGGGCCUAAGAGACCCGAAUAGGGCCUGAGCCCAGCUGGGGUGGGAAAACUGUAGCAGUUUGGAGCUACACCCUUUGCCUUCUGACAGAGCACCCUGGGCAUGAGCUGAUUGAUGCCCCACACGCUCACACCCCCAUGGAUGUUCUCACAUGGUAUGUGAGCACACUGGUUGUUGUUGCUGGCCAGGUAAACACUCAGAAUAGUGAGUUAUACAAAUAAGUACAGGGAUAUGAUAUUACCUGAAGGUCCACCUUGUACAUGUUCCUGGUGUGAGAGCAGUAGCGUUACCCAGAUGCAGGAAGACAAUGACAGAACAAGGCCAUGAAAAGGAUGGCUACACACAGAGCAGCUUUUGUAUAGCUAUACCAUUUAUCUUGGACCUGGCAAUUGAGACUAAAGAAAGGUGUUAUCAGACAAAAGUAGUGCUUUGGGAAGUAGGAAGAAGACACCUUGGGUGCAAAAAAA
ensembl:lncRNA novel transcript